rnacentral:rRNA from 2 species
UCUUGGUCAUUUAGAGGAAGUAAAAGUCGUAACAAGGUCUCCGUUGGUGAACCAGCGGAGGGAUCAUUACCGAGUUUACAACUCCCAAACCCCUGUGAACAUACCAAUUGUUGCCUCGGCGGAUCAGCCCGCUCCCGGUAAAACGGGACGGCCCGCCAGAGGACCCCUAAACUCUGUUUCUAUAUGUAACUUCUGAGUAAAACCAUAAAUAAAUCAAAACUUUCAACAACGGAUCUCUUGGUUCUGGCAUCGAUGAAGAACGCAGCAAAAUGCGAUAAGUAAUGUGAAUUGCAGAAUUCAGUGAAUCAUCGAAUCUUUGAACGCACAUUGCGCCCGCCAGUAUUCUGGCGGGCAUGCCUGUUCGAGCGUCAUUUCAACCCUCAAGCCCCCGGGUUUGGUGUUGGGGAUCGGCGAGCCCUUGCGGCAAGCCGGCCCCGAAAUCUAGUGGCGGUCUCGCUGCAGCUUCCAUUGCGUAGUAGUAAAACCCUCGCAACUGGUACGCGGCGCGGCCAAGCCGUUAAACCCCCAACUUCUGAAUGUUGACCUCGGAUCAGGUAGGAAUACCCGCUGAACUUAAGCAUAUCAAUAAGCGGAGGAACUU